AUAUAGAUUAAGUUAUUAAGGGCGCACGGUGGAUGCCUUGGCACUAGAAGCCGAUGAAGGACGUUACUAACGACGAUAUGCUUUGGGGAGCUGUAAGUAAGCUUUGAUCCAGA
rnacentral:rRNA from 1 species